ACAUCCAAACUAGACGCACUCUCUGGUCCUAGACAGGCGUCUUCUUUGGGUGUGA
rnacentral:pre_miRNA from 1 species